GACGGCAGCACAGUAAGAGCUUGCUCUUAUGGGUGGCGAGUGGCGGACGGGUGAGGAAUACAUCGGAAUCUACCUUUUCGUGGGGGAUAACGUAGGGAAACUUACGCUAAUACCGCAUACGACCUUCGGGUGAAAGCAGGGGACCUUCGGGCCUUGCGCGGAUAGAUGAGCCGAUGUCGGAUUAGCUAGUUGGCGGGGUAAAGGCCCACCAAGGCGACGAUCCGUAGCUGGUCUGAGAGGAUGAUCAGCCACACUGGAACUGAGACACGGUCCAGACUCCUACGGGAGGCAGCAGUGGGGAAUAUUGGACAAUGGGCGCAAGCCUGAUCCAGCCAUACCGCGUGGGUGAAGAAGGCCUUCGGGUUGUAAAGCCCUUUUGUUGGGAAAGAAAAGCAGUCGAUUAAUACUCGGUUGUUCUGACGGUACCCAAAGAAUAAGCACCGGCUAACUUCGUGCCAGCAGCCGCGGUAAUACGAAGGGUGCAAGCGUUACUCGGAAUUACUGGGCGUAAAGCGUGCGUAGGUGGUUGUUUAAGUCUGUUGUGAAAGCCCUGGGCUCAACCUGGGAAUUGCAGUGGAUACUGGGCGACUAGAGUGUGGUAGAGGGUAGUGGAAUUCCCGGUGUAGCAGU
rnacentral:rRNA from 1 species